rnacentral:sRNA from 1 species
UCAAAGGCAUCAAUGCGUCUGCGGUCUGC